rnacentral:lncRNA from 1 species
CCGGAGUCCCCGCGGCGGCGGCGGGGAGCCCCGCGCGGCUCCCGGGGACCGGGCGCUGCCACGAGGCCGGGACGCUGGACGCUGGGCUGCCAGCUCCUCGGAGGAGGACCACACCUGUGCCUGUUCCCGCUUUGGAGGAGAGAGAGAAGCUUGUGGUCCAUGAUGCUCCAAGAAUGAAUUUCCAAAUAUUUGCCAGUGGAGAAGGAGCAGAGGCUCAGACGAGAGUGAAGGCUCUUUCAGAGAAGUUGCCCGCUGCGGCGAUAAAUGGAAGUAUCGGGGGAAAGGAAGGAUCUACUUGACCCCAACAGAGAGAACUAGAACGAAGGAGGAGAAACUACAGAUGUCACAAAAGGGAGAUCCUUGUCAUAAACCGAGGAGAGGAGCAACUUUGGCACUUCUGUCCCCAGAGGUGUCAGGCAGAGGGUGGCAGCCACCUGCAGUUACUUCCUACUGGAGGGAGGGCUUCUCCUCACGAAGGGUGUUCAGAAUCUUCGAAAUGGAAAACUACACUAAAUGACUUCUAAAAUUAUUUCCGGUUCUGAGACUUGAUAAUCCUAUCAGAAUUUUAAGAAAAGGGAUUUUGAGAGCCCUCAAACUUUUCUCAAAAAUUUCGUGCAACUUUUGAACAAUAAGGAACACACACACACCUCCUUCCUGCCAUCACAGAUUUCGAUUUAUUUUAUUUUCCCUAUUGUAAUUAUUCCACUGACAUACAGUUUUCCUAUUUCUGCAUUUUCACGAUUACAUUAUAUUCCACUGGAUAAACAUAGUAUAAGGUAUUAUUCCCUUCCCAUGCUUAAUUAUUAUAAAGAGCCGUGCUCUAGAUAUUUUUGCAUACACAGCUUCUCUUUGCUCUCAAAAUAUUUUAUUAGAAUAAUUAGAACUGAUUUGGUUGCAAAUUACACAGCUCACUGGAGCAGCCUAAGUAAAAGGGGUUUUGUUGCUAAGCAUAUAGGACAAUCACAAAGUUACCGAGUGUGAGACACACGCAGGAACUGGAUCGUUGCCCACACUCCCCAUCCCCUCUCCCUGGUCUGCUGUUUUCUCUCGACUGCCUUUCUCUGCCUGCUCCUGGUUCCCUUAUAACUUUGGCUCACGCCGGGCUUCGACUUGCCUUGGAGGCAGAGGCCCCAGGUCUGCAUCACAAGAGCACAGAGCCAACCACUGUCUGACCAGAAUCGGUACGUCUUAUACGAGAUUCUUGAGCAAGAGUCUGAUUAGCCCAGCUCCCCUGGCCCUGCGAGCUGUUCUUUCCUCCAGGUGGGGGGCCGGGCUCUGGAGUCUGCAUAGUUCGAAUUGAACUCUUCCGCUUACCAGUCACAUGCGCUUGAGUUGGUUCCUGAGCUUCUCUGAGUCUCUAUUUGCUCAUCUGUGAAAUGAGGAUAACACUGGCACCUACUGCAGGAGAUUAUCGGGAGCAUGAAAUAAAAUAACCCUUGUCAAGGCCUAUAAGAAGAACACAUGAGAAGUCCUCAAUGUGUGUUAGCUCUUAAUUUUUAAAGAAAUUUUGUAUUAUGGGAAAAUAUGCAUAACAUUAAAUUUAUGAUUUUAACCAUUUUUAAGUGUACAACUGAGUGACAUUAAGUACAUUCACAUUAUUGUGCAGCCGUCACCACUAUCCAUCCUCAAAACUUUUUCAUCGUCCCAAACUAUAGCUUUCGUUUUUAAAUUAUCAUUAUGGCCAUUUCAGAUAUGGCUUCCUGGGUCCACCCUUUGGAAGUGUGUGAUGGGGAUUCUUCCCAAAGAAGGGACAUCGUGGGUAGGCACUCCAAGAGCCUGCGGAAAGCAUCACAAUUUCAGUUCUUUAAGCCUUACGGAGCGCUUUCUCACCUAAUUUUAUGCAAUCCUCCUGGGGAAGGACUUCUUGAUAGGAAGAGGUUAUGAUCCUUAUUUUACAGGAAAGGAGCCUGAGGUCCAGGAAGUCUGACUGGCCCAACAUCUCCCAUCUUACUUGUAGAGUCAGGACUCAAGGCCAAGUCUUCUCACGCCAAGUUUGUGCCUUUUCCAUGACAUCUCGGUGAUGUAACUACUCAGCCAAGCUUCAUACCCAUUUGUUUAUAGUUCCUAAUAUGUACUCCGUUUCCGACUAUGAGAAGGGAGAGAAGAAUUCUCAAACUGGAAUGUGUGGGCGGCGCUAUCUGGCAUAUGAGAUCUGUAGUAAAAUGCGAGUGUUGCUCUCCACCUCCACCCACCCACUCACCAACCCCACUUCCUUCCCCAGAGGAAACCACUUUAACAGUAUCAUGAAUGUGCUUUCAGACACUUUUCUACCUGCUUAAAAGCUAUGUGCUUUUAAACUAGUUUAAUAUACAUAUUCCGCUAAUUUACUUGCUUUUUUCUGAUAAUAAUUUAGCAGAUUUUUUCAAGUUAGUGACUAUAGCUUUACAGCAUUUCUUUGAAUGACUAUAUUCAGUUUUGUAGGUGGAUAUAUCAUUGAUUCUUUAACCAUUCUUUUAUUGAUGAGCAUCCAAGUUGUUUCCAACUUUUUAUUACUAUAAACAAUUGUAUAGGGGCUGGCCCCGUGGCCGAGUGGUUAAGUUCGCGCGCUCCGCUGCAGGUGACCCAGUGUUUCGUCAGUUCGAAUCCUGGGCGCGGACAUGGCACUGCUCGUCAGACCACGCUGAGGCAGCGUCCCACAUGCCACAACUAGAGGAACCCACAACGAAGAAUACACAACUAUGUACCAGGGGGCUUUGGGGAGAAAAAGGAAAAAAUAAAAAAAUC